rnacentral:rRNA from 1 species
CGGCGUGGAUAAGACAUGCAAGUCGAACGCUGGUUUGCGGGUAGCAAUAUUUGCAAACUGGAGUGGCGCAAGGGUGUGUAACACGUGGGUAAUCUGCCGUGAAGUCUGGGAUAACUUGCCGAAAGGCGAGCUAAUACCGGAUGUGAACGCAAGUUCAAAGUUGGGGACCGUAAGGCCUGACGCUUCACGAUGAGCCCGCGGCCUAUCAGCUAGUUGGUGAGGUAACGGCUCACCAAGGCUAAGACGGGUAGCUGGUCUGAGAGGACGACCAGCCACACUGGAACUGAGACACGGUCCAGACACCUACGGGUGGCAGCAGUCGAGAAUUUUUCUCAAUGGGCGAAAGCCUGAAGGAGCGACGCCGCGUGGGGGAUGAAUGGCUUCGGCCCGUAAAGCCCUGUCAUUGCGAACAAGUUGAUUCACCUAACACGGAAGCAUGAUGG